AAACCAACAUAACCAAACCAGACAAACUGUGACUCCUGCCAAGAAUGUCUUGUUACUACAGUAGAGUCUCACUUAUCCAACACUCACUUAUCCAACGUUCUGGAUUAUCCAACGCAUUUUCGUAGUCAAUGUUUUCAAUAUAUCGUGAUAUUUUGGUGCUAAAUUCAUAAAUACAGUAAUUACUACAUAGCAUUACUGUGUAUUGAACUACUUUUUCUGCCAAAUUUGUUGUCUAACAUGAUGUUUUAGUGCUUCAUUUGUAAAAUCAUAACCUAAUUUGAUGUUUAAUAGACUUUUCCUUAAUGCCACCUUAUUAUCCAACAUAUUCGCUUAUCCAACAUUCUGCCAGCCCGUUUAUGUUGGAUAAGUGAGACUCUACUGUACCAUUAUUUCCAUAUACAACUGGGGUCCAAGGGCCACCUUCCCAGCGGCCACUCCACCCUCCUGGGUCAACCGGGUCCUGAAGGACUUCAGCCCCUCCGUGGCCGAGAGGCGCCAGGAGGCCGGGAUCAACUCAGCCGGCCGCAGCCGCUUCGUCCCCUCGCCUUACUCCUCGUCUUCCUUGGUGGGCAGUUGGGGACGGCGGCCUUCCCGCCUGGCGCUGAGCCCGGACCCGUUUGCGAGGGAGACGGUGGUCAAGGCUCUGCAGGAAAAGGAGAAGGCCAAGAGGAGGAGAGCGGAGGACGGGGGGCCCGAGCAGGAGCCCCUCCUCCGCGGGAGGGACAAGAGGAGGCGCCACGAGAGCGGAAGGAGCGUGCCCUCGGCCCUCGAGCCCUUCCCGUCGGUGUCUCAUGCAGCCGAUCCUGCUGCUCCGGACGCCCUCCCCGUCCUCAAGGAUGCCGCCUCCUCCUUCUCCUACUCCGUGUCUUCCGCCAAGAGGCGCUGCCGCCGCUGCCGCCGCUGCCGCUCCUCCUCCUCACUGUCGUCCGGCUCCACCGAGAGCGUCUCUUACGGCAUCCCCACCAUAUGCAAGGACAAGAGACAAAAGCGAUACCACGAGGACAUAUUCGGGGCGGUGUUUGCGCACGAGAACCAACGAGACACGAGACCACGACCCGGCUUCGAGUCUCCAAAUCCGCUCACGUUUUAGCUGUAUUUUUGCACAUUUGCUCCCCUUUUCCUAUGUCACGGGGAGCCAAAUUUGUCUUUCCCUCCAAAACUUUGGAGGCGAAUCAGUACACUUUGGCUCCCAGGAUUGGUUGGGGACCAGACACCUUUUAUUUAAUGCUAUUUAUUCUAUCAGAUCCUUUGUCAUGUGUGUAUAUUGUAUGGGAAGAGGUCAGUUGUAUGUGUUUUUAAAGAAAUGUAUUGUUCAUAUUUUUGGGAGUUGAUGACUGAGCUUGAACUCUUGGUUUCCCAGAUUUCUAGGCCUUGUCUACACAUCUAGAGUUAACCUAGUAAGUAAGUAAGUAAGUAAAAGUUUAUUUGUAUACCACCCUCUCUCCCGAAAGGGACUCAGGGCGGUUUCCAAUAUAAAAUCAGCAUAAAACAUUGUACAAUAAAACACUGAAAACACUAUAAAACGCUAUAAGAAUUAAAAACAAAAACAAAACGUAACAAUUGAAUAAAACAAUCACAUAAGCAGAAGGAAUAUGAUCACUCAAAUAACAUGAAUCUGCAAAGAAAGAGGAAAAAAGGACCACUGGGAUGGAGGAGAGGAUGGCCUGGAGGGACCACUAGAACUAAAAUACAAUGUUAUAUUCUAAGAUGCUUUCGGGCAGAGGAAUAUAGUGCAAUGUUUCAAGUCAAAGAGAUGGCCUGUGCAACUAGCUAUGGGCUCGGUUAUCCAAAGGCGCAGGUUUUAAGCAGGCUUUUGAAGGAAGCCAGGGUGGGUGCUUGCCGGAUCUCCUCCGGAAGGGAAUUCCAGAUCCGGGGAGUAACAAUAGAAAAUAGAAAACCUAGAUUGACUUCUCCCAUGUCUAAAAAUGUUAAUACAGGGUGAUUGGUUGGGAGUUGCAUCAUUUAUACGGUUGAUUUUCCGUUUCUGUACCUUUGUUUAGUUAACCUAUUGUAUAAACUGUUUUGAUUUUGUAAGAGAAAUAAAUAAUUAUUCCUGCUGCUGAAGGAUUUUGACAUUUUUGCGUACUGUUUUGUCAAACACACAAAAGUUGUCACUCGUGACAUCUAUCUAACUUAUUCUUAUUUCUCAAACACACAAAAGUUGUCACUCAUGACAUCUAUCUAUCUGUCUAUCUAUCUAUCUAUCUAUUAAUCUUAUUCUUAUUUCUCAAACACACAAAAGUUGUCACUCGUGACAUCUAUCUAUCUAUCUAUCUAUCUAAUUCUUAUUUCUCAAACACACAAGAGUUGUCACUUGUGACAUCUAUCUGUCUGUCUGUCUAUCUAUCUAUCUAUCUAUCUAUCUAUCUAUGAAUCUUAUUCUUAUUUCUCAAACACACAAAGGUUGUCACUUGUGACAUCUAUCUAUCUACCUAUCUAUGAAUCUUAUUCUUAUUU
rnacentral:lncRNA from 11 species